ensembl:lncRNA
CUAAAGGUUUGUUAAGUGCUAUUUAACCUUUUCAGAGAGACUUAAUCAGUAAAACAGUAAUAAACCACUUAUGUAGGCUACAAGGUGACAUUACAAAAAUAUGAUUGUGUUGGCCAACAGGAAAUGUAGCCUAAUAACUGGAAUAAUAACUAAUAACUAGUAACUGGAAGUAGCCUAUAUAAAAUUACAGCCAAAAAAAAAAAUGACCAUGGCAAAAUAUAAAAUGAAAUAACAUAACGGCCUUACAUUUAUAUAAAAAAUAAGUUUAAGAAAUGCCUAUUAUUUAAUAAUAUAAACAAUAUUUAUAUGCGGUUUCUUGUGCUCAAGCAGACAGUCAGUGGCGCUCCAUCAAAGAUCUCCUCCCCUCCUUCACAUUCACUCCCAUGAUGCAACAGCAAACAAAAGAGGGCAGAGAAAAGAGACAGUAACGUUACAAGGAAAAAUGGCAGCUAGCUAGAGAAAAGUUUCAAACGCCGAAAAUAGGCACAGUUCAAAACGUUCACAGCGUACGGUGUCACUUUAUCACAAAACGCGAUCGUAAAGUGGCCAUUAUACCUCGUCUCUGUAGAAAUUGAGCUCGUUUCUGCGCUGUUUUUGUAAGAGCAGGUAUCAGCUAGCCGUGAAGUAAUAAUGUCUCCUAAUGUGAUUUCAUAGCUCUGUGGACACUGAUAUGAAAACUGCUGUUAGUUGACAGUGUAUUCAAGCCACGGCAGGUAUGGCAGUCGUGGGUCGUAUGUGAUCAGCUAUGUCACAGGAAGCAGCAGGCUGAGAGUUGAUAUCCUGAUGCAGCUAAAUGCCCAGCAGAGAUGGCCGUGGGUUCUUCUGGAGACGUUUCUGUCCCUCUUGCCUGUAAAGGGCAGCUUGGCGUGAGUCUGCAGCGCUUGGGCUG